rnacentral:rRNA from 1 species
AACGAACGCUGGCGGCAUGCCUAACACAUGCAAGUCGAACGAGACCUUCGGGUCUAGUGGCGCACGGGUGCGUAACGCGUGGGAAUCUGCCCUUGGGUGCGGAAUAACAGUUAGAAAUGACUGCUAAUACCGCAUAAUGACUCCGGUCCAAAGAUUUAUCGCCCAGGGAUGAGCCCGCGUCGGAUUAGCUAGUUGGUAGGGUAAAAGCCUACCAAGGCAACGAUCCGUAGCUGGUCUGAGAGGAUGAUCAGCCACACUGGGACUGAGACACGGCCCAGACUCAUACGGGAGGCAGCAGUGGGGAAUAUUGGAAAAUGGGCGAAAGCCUGAUCCAGCAAUGCCGCGUGAGUGAUGAAGGCCUUAGGGUUGUAAAGCUCUUUUACCCGGGAUGAUAAUGACAGUACCGGGAGAAUAAGCCCCGGCUAACUCCGUGCCAGCCGCCGCCGUAAGAC